AUUGAACGCUGGCGGCAGGCCUAACACAUGCAAGUCGAGCGGACGAAGGGAGCUUGCUCCUGGAUUCAGCGGCGGACGGGCGAGUAAUGCCUAGGAAUCUGCCUUGUAGUGGGGGAUAACGUCCGGAAACGGGCGCUAAUACCGCAUACGUCCUUAGGGUGAAAGUGGUGGAUCUUCGGACCUCACGCUUUUAGCUGAGCCUAGGUCGGAUUAGCUAGUUGGUGGGGUAAAGGCCUACCAAGGCGACGAUCCGUAACUGGUCUGAGAGGAUGAUCAGUCACACUGGAACUGAGACACGGUCCAGACUUCUACGGGAGGCAGCAGUGGGGAAUAUUGGACAAUGGGCGAAAGCCUGAUCCAGCCAUGCCGCGUGUGUGAAGAAGGUCUUCGGAUUGUAAAGCACUUUAAGUUGGGAGGAAGGGCAGUAAGUUAAUACCUUGCUGUUUUGACGUUACCAACAGAAUAAGCACCGGCUAACUUCGUG
rnacentral:rRNA from 1 species